CGGAGGAAAAGAAACCAACAGGGAUUGCCUCAGUAACGGCGAGUGAAGCGGCAAAAGCUCAAAUUUUAAAGCUGGCACCUCCGGUGUCCGCGUUGUAAUUUUGUGAGGCAUCUCCGGGUAGGGCGCCGGCCUAAGUUCCUUGGAACAGGACGUCAUAGAGGGUGAGAAUCCCGUGCUUGGCUGGCUGUCCCCGUCCAUGUGAGGUGUCUUCGACGAGUCGAGUUGUUUGGGAAUGCAGCUCAAAAUGGGUGGUAAAUUUCAUCUAAAGCUAAAUAUUGGUGGGAGACCGAUAGCGCACAAGUAGAGUGAUCGAAAGAUGAAAAGCACUUUGAAAAUAGAGUUAAAAAGUACGUGAAAUUGUUGAAAGGGAAGCGCUUGAGACCAGACUUCGGUGGGGAGUGAUCAGCUGUCCUUCUGGGCGGUGCACUUGCUCCCCUCCGGGCCAGCAUCGGUUGGGACGGCGGGAUAAAGGUCCCGGGAAUGUGGCUCCUUUCGGGGAGUGUUAUAGCCCGGGAUGAAAUGCCGCCAGCUCCGACCGAGGACCGCGCCUUCGGGCUAGGAUGCUUGGCAUAAUGGCCUUCAGCGACCCGUCU
rnacentral:rRNA from 1 species